AUUGAACGCUGGCGGCAGGCUUAACACAUGCAAGUCGAACGAGAGGAGGACGGGGGAGUAAUGCGUGGGCAACUAGCUUAUGGAGGGGGAUAACUCCGGGAAACUGUAGCUAAUAACGCGUACUUUAGGAUGAGCCCAAGUGGGAUUAGGUAGUUGGUGAGGGAAAGGCUCACCAAGCCGACGCUCUCUAGCUGGUCUGAGAGGAAGACCAGCCACACUGGGACGGAGAAACGGCCCAGACUCCUACGGGAGGCAGCAGUGGGGAAUAUUGCGCAAGGGAGGAAAGCGGACGCAGCCAUGCGGAGUGAAUGAAGAAGGCCUUCGGGUUGGAAAGUUCUUUCGGUAGCGAGGCGUUACCUACAGAAGAAGCACCGGCUAACUCCGUGCCAGCAGCCGCGGUAAUAC
rnacentral:rRNA from 1 species